rnacentral:rRNA from 1 species
AGCUUCAGUAGCGUAUAUUAAAGUUGUUGCAGUUAAAAAGCUCGUAGUCGCAUUUCUGGCGAGAGGAUCCGGUCCGACCUUUUGGUGGGUUCUUGGGUCUCUUUCGCCAUCCUUGUGUGGUCCGUUCUGGCAUUAGGUUGUCGGAGCGUCAGCCGCUCAUCGUUUACUGUGAGAAAAUUAGAGUGUUCAAAGCAGGCUUAUGCCGUUGAAUAUAUUAGCAUGGAAUAAUAAGAUAGGACCUCGGUACUAUUUUGUUGGUUUGAGCACCAAGGUAAUGAUGAACAGGGACAGUUGGGGGUAUUUGUAUUUCGUUGUCAGAGGUGAAAUUCUUAGAUUUACGAAAGACAAACUACUGCGAAAGCAUUUACCAAGGAUGUUUUCA